UGGAAACGCGUUCGUUGCUUCGAAUUUGCACUAUUAUCGUCGAUAAUUGGACGUCGAUUUUAAUCGCUAGACAGUGGAUUUUCGCCCAUGUGUCCUCUAAGUGUCCAAAACUCAAAGAACUGUUGCUGGUUCGUUUCUUGUGGCAUUGGACAUUUUCCUUUAGAAACCUAAAGCGGUGGGCGUCGCCGUAGGUGGCAUGACAAGCCUCAACAGUUGUAAACGAUAAUGUCACUUGGAUAGAGGACUCACAUGGACGCAGCAUAUUCGAAAGAACAGACAGAACAAAUUAGAAGCAAAAGAAGACACAUGAGCCACAUAAAAAGCAUAGGACCCUAGAAACAUAGGAAAAGACUCAAAACUAAGCAGAGAAAACAAGUUUUUAAUCCACAAAAUAAUUACGAGAUCUAUCUGGACCUAUUGAAAUGAGCUCUGAGAUACGACAGUCAACAGUCGCGUCAAAAAAAAUCAUAAUCGAUUAUUCUACGGACAAGAAUAAACGCCCCGUUAUACGUUAGAGACGAAAACGAAAAUCCUUCGAACGACGACGACCUUAGAAAAGAUCUGGAAAUAGAAGCAGUUGAGAAAAUGAUCGUAAAGCACGUUAAAAGCCACAAACAGUGGCUACCCAACCACCGAAAUAGUCAAGCGAAUAAUCUACACAG